rnacentral:lncRNA from 1 species
UGCAUUUAAGUUUUUAUUUUUUAUGAAACGUGUUGGCGAAUGUGUAUUUUAGAUCAAUUUUUUGGUGCCAGUUUUUUAGUCUCUGAGUUUAAACAUGUUAUUUUUUUCUCUCCAAAUUUACCUCAAAUCUUGAAAAAGCCCCAGAAGAAAAAAGCAGGAAUUUAGAGUGGAUAAAAUAUAAGGGUUACACAUAGGCCAAUAUGUACUUGACUUUCAAGCUCACUGAAAUUAAACUAUAUAAAAUUUCUGAUUAUGCAUGUAAAAAAUGGUGGCAUAUUGAUCAUUAACUUGCAUAUCAUUUAAUCUAAAAUCUUUUUUCGGUGAAGUCAUUGAUAAAAAAAUCUUUGAUGACUGGAGGAUGAUUUAUCUUUUCCCUCAUCUUAAGCUUUAUGUUUUAAAAUAUUUUUCAAUAUGAGAGUAAUCUAGACAUAUUCCAGAAAACAUUGGAAAAUUUUGUAGGCUACUUUUUGUAACAUUUUUUCAUUACAGAUUUGUUUUUAUGCUACAUUCUUUCUCCCCAGUUAGAUUUUACUCAUCUGAGACAGUGACCUUAUUGUAUACUUCUUAGUAAUUUUCCGUAUCAGUUAACCAUGGAUGCAGCCUACGCGGCAGUGCCCCGAGUGUGGUAGGCACGCAGUAAAUAUUUGUUGAUGCUCCUGAUUACAGAGUAAUGAAAUACGCUAAAGGUAACUUAAACUUUUGUCAAUAAAAUUGGGCUUCAGGUUAGUUUGACCUUUUUGGUUUCUCUAAAUAUUUCCUUUCAUGUAGACGAAAUGACCCACAAAAAUGCGUAUUGAUUCCGAAAUCCUUUUGCCCUUCUACCUUUCUACACUCUGAAGUCAGGAAAUAUUUCAUAGUCCUCACUUACAGACAAGUAUGAUUGAUGCUGUGGUUUGCUAAUUUUAUUAAAAUUGUGCUUAUUAACACUCCUUAUUUAGUAAAAAUUGUUGGUCUCCAGUAUACACAAAGCAUGAUUUUUAAGGACUGUUCCUUUUCUUUCUUUCUUUCUUUCUUUCUUUCUUUCUUUCUUUCUUUCUUUCUUUCUUUCUUUCUUUCCUUCCUUCUUUCUUUCUUUGGAGAGAGAAAGCAACUUUUUAAAUUUUAUUUUAUUUUUUGUAUUAUUUUAUUUUAUGUGGAAGUUUCUUUCUUUUUUUCUUUUUUGUCUUUUUGCUAUUUCUUGGGCCGCUCCUGCGGCAUAUGGAGGUUCCCAGGCUAGGGGUCAAAUUGGAGCUGUAGCCCCCGGCCUACGCCACAGCCACAGCAACUCGGGAUCUGAGCCGCGUCUGCAACCUGCACCACAGCUCAGGGCAACGCCGGAUCCUUAACCCACUGAGCAAGGGCAGGGAUCGAACCUGCAAUCUCAUGGUUCCUAGUCGGAUUCAUUAACCACUGCGCCCUGACAGGAACUCCGAAAGUUUCUUUCUUAGGAGAGGGAAAGCAACCUAUUUUUAUUUUAUUUUAUUUUAUUUUAUUUUAUUUUAUUUUAUGUGCAAGUUCCAUGGGUUAUUGAACCCAUGCCAUAGUGACUCAAGCCACUGCAGUGACAAUGUGUGAUCCUUAACCUGCUGUGCCACAAAGAACUCUAGGACUGUUCAUUUCAAUGAGUCAAUAACUUUGCACUAUUUUCCCUUCCAUGCAAAAUCAGAUGCCAAUAUUAACUAUAUAUAUUUAUAAAUAAUAUGUGCUUUUAACAUUUUUUUUUUGGUCUUUUGUCUUUUUAGGGCUGUACCCGCAGCAUGCGGAGGUUCCCAGGCUAAGUGUUGAAUAGCAGCUGUAGCCCCUGACCUACGCCAAGACCACAGCAAUGCCAGAUCCGAGCCAUGUCUGCGACCUACACCACAGCUCACAGCAAUGCUGGAUCCUUAACCCACUGAGCGAGGCUAGGGAUCAAACCCGAAACCUCAUGGUUCCUAGUCGGAUUCGUUUCUGCUGUGCCGUGAUGGGAACUCUGCUUUUAACAUUUUCAUUUAAAAUCAUAGUAGAUAUCAUAUAUCAAGCACCUACUAUGUGGUGGACACUGUUCUUAGUGCAUUAAAGUUAUUAUCUGAUUUAAUCCUCACAUAAUCCUGUGAGGAAGGAACAUUAUUCUCACUUUACAGAUAAGGAAACCCAGGCUUAGAGAAUUUAUGUCUAACUAAGAUCACAGGGCUAGGAAAACAGCCAAGCCUGGGUCUAAAUAUAAGUUUUAAACACUGUAGUACGUAUAUGCCUAAGUCUACUAGAAAAGGUUUUCCUGUAAACAGGCAGCCUAGGGUUACUAAAGGGAAGCCCCAGGAGCCUGCACAGAAAAAUGCUAAGGCAGCGGCAAUGCAUUGACAAGCAGAGGGGGUGACUGGAGCCCCAGAUUCAUUUGGUCCCAGAGGCCAGUCUUUCCAAUAUAGAAUCAGCCAGCAACUCUCCCCUUUUCUGGUCCCAUUGUUUAUGCUGCCACCCUCCAUUCAUAAAAUGGUACCCCAUUUGGUUUGUCCAGUGAUGCAAACAUCCCCAGUGAGUUCUCAUGACUAGGAAAUAAACUGGCUUUCGGGUUGAUCUAGAGGACUCUGUGAGCCAGCCUCUGACAGAGGGCUCCACUCCCUGGUUGGAGGCAAAGUCUGGGGAUUGGACCCUUGAGAGGAGUAAGUCAUCAAGGCAAAUGUCUUCCUUGCCAAGACUCCAACCUCACCAACAGCUUUCUAUUCAAAACAACAGUCUAAAAGUUUGUAGUGUGAAUUUCAACUAAGUUAAAAAAAAAAAAAAAAAAAAAAAGACCGGAGUUCCCAUCGAGGAUCAGGGGAAACAGAAUCUGACCAGCGUCCAUGAGGAUGCAGGUUCAAUCCCUGGCCUCACUCAGUGGGUUAAGGAUCAGCGUUGCCCUGAGCUGUGGUGUAGGUGGCAGACACAGACCAGUGACUACAGCUCCAAUUCAGCCCAUAGCCUGAGAACCUCCAUAUGCCUCAGGUGUGUCCCUAAAAAGAC